rnacentral:rRNA from 1 species
GCUAGAGUCUUGUAGAGGGGGGUAGAAUUCCAGGUGUAGCGGUGAAAUGCGUAGAGAUCUGGAGGAAUACCGGUGGCGAAGGCGGCCCCCUGGACAAAGACUGACGCUCAGGUGCGAAAGCGUGGGGAGCAAACAGGAUUAGAUACCCUGGUAGUCCACGCCGUAAACGAUGUCGAUUUGGAGGCUGUGUCCUUGAGACGUGGCUUCCGGAGCUAACGCGUUAAAUCGACCGCCUGGGGAGUACGGCCGCAAGGUUAAAACUCAAAUGAAUUGACGGGGGCCCGCACAAGCGGUGGAGCAUGUGGUUUAAUUCGAUGCAACGCGAAGAACCUUACCUGGCCUUGACAUGUCUGGAAUCC